AACCGAAGCGUUCUGGCGCCACCCUGUCUCACCUCCGCUUUUUCUCCAGUUGUAAAAGUUCAUCUCUGUCUCUCUGUGCUCGACACUCCCUCCGGUCUAGGACUACAAUCUAAUCUUCCAGCACAGCGCACGGUUUUUGGCUCUUUCGUUGUCUGUCUGUCUCAGUCGGACUUUACCACGACCACGAUUUUCUCUCUCCCUUCUCCUCCCUCAUCUGGCCGCUCAAAUUGCACAUACAUACAUCCCCCCUCCCUCUCUCUCUCCCUCCCUCUUUGGGUUUGUGUGCGUGUGCCACUCGCACUCUAUUUCUCUCAUCAUUAUCAGCAUCGUCGACAGGACUCGAAGAGGAGUAGCAUAUCAGCAGUGUUCUUUGUGUUCUUCCCCACCGCCCUUUUCUUGUUUGUCCCCUCCCCUCUCCUCUCUUCCCUCUGUUCCCUCGCGCUUCAUCUUUUAGCUUCACUCGUUUCGUUUCCUUUAUUGUUCUGUUUUCUUUUUUUUUUACCUUUUCUUUUUAUUGUUUGAUUGUUUUUUUCUUUUCUUUGGUUGCUCUUCUUUCCUCUCUCUUUUGGAGCUUUCCUUUCUGUGUGCGUGCGCUUGUGUGUGUGUGUGUGCUGUUUCGUUUUCUCUUUGGCCAGCCCACGCCACCCCUGUCCCUUCCCUCCCCGUCUUCCUUUUUGUGGUUGUUGUGCUUGGCCCUUCUCUUUCCAUUUUUUUCUGUGCUUUCUCGUUCCCUUUCGUAUUUCGAUCUUCUUGUUCGUUAGUGUCGAUCUGACGUCCUCGUCGUUCAUCCGGCUCCUUCUCACAAUCUUACCCCCUCCCUCCCUACCUCUGUGCUGCGCUUUUUCACACACCACUGCCACGAUUUUCCUUCUCUGCGUUUCUCAUUUGCGAAGUUCCCUUGCUUUUCUCUCUUUUCCGACUCCCUCACGGUAUACACAGAACACGAGGAGAGAAUAGGAAGAAAAUCAAUCAAAACGUUGAUGUCAAGCGCAUUUUGAAAAGCCUCGCCGUUUUUCUGCAUUCUUCUCUCUUUUCUUGCCUCUCCCCCUUUACUUCGGAAAUACAACCCUUUCUCGCCUGUAGCGUGUCUACUCUGGUUCUUAGUCCUCUUUCGUCGCUUUUUUAUCUCUCUCUCCGUUUGUUUGCUUUUACGUAGGUCGAGUUGCACCUCUCCCUCUCUCCCUGCCUCUCUCUCUUUCACCCUGCUGAGUCUCUAUUCCCGCUUUUCUCCUUUUCGUCGCUUCAGCUUCAGUGCGUCUUCUCUCCCCUCGUUCCCGUGCCGUUGCCCUUGCCGUUUGUUUUCUGAUUUGCCCCUUACCUUUCCACCGCAUCCGACACAGAUACACCCAUACGCACUCUGUCUAGCUCCGUGUCUCGUCGCACUCCAACCUCCCUGUCCGCCGCCGCUAAACUUCUCUUCGCCCCGAUACUUCCCCCGCGCGUGCAUGCGUGUGUGAGUGUGGUAGUGUUGGGACCAUUGUAAAGUGCUGUCACGGUUUGAAAGCAAGACCGAGAAGCACGGAGGGAAAGCAAAGAAGGUACACCGGAGUUGACGAGCUGCUGUGCUUUUUUUUUUCGCUCAUACCCGAAGAGAAGAAGGAAACUAAAGGACGCGGCGCCGUGCUCGCACUUUUUUUUUUGGUUUCCGUGUUUGUUUCCUCGCUGGUAUUCUUUUCCUUUCCGCUUCGUCUCUCCUUUUCUGCGGCCGCAACGCAGCUCGUUAUUGGCCAAAGCAGCGCAGAAGAACGGAACCGACCACAAGAGGGAGGAGACGCCUUCGUCACGAUACGUGUACAGGAUAGCGCUCGUUACACAGCUCCGCUAUUAUCACCUGUCCCGUGACACAGAGACCAAGGAAGCAAACAACGCAUCUUCCUCAGACUCGGUCUCGUUGUUUUUGUUUCGCGCUCUCUCCUUCUUACACGUAGAAAAAAUCCCCUAAAAACUACUCUCCCCCUCCCCUUACCACACUCGCAUACCGACGCGUACGUUCUUCGUAGACAAACGAAAGAAAGCCCGAAGGCGUGAGGAGAACCGAAGAGGACGGGAGAAAAAGCCACAAACCGAAACACACACGCGUCCUGCGCAUAUCAAAAGUAGACACUAACCAUUUCUUCUCUCAUAUGGUAAGACGGUGACAUUAUAUAUAUAUAUAUCUUUUCCUCAUUUCGAUUUUUUUCUUCUUGUUCUUCAUCGUUUGCGUUUGUUUUUCGGCGCGGAUCGGCGCUCUGCUUGCUCAUCGUCGGUUGCGGCCCCGCCCCCCCCCCCCCCCCUUCUUCCCUCCCUCCUUCCCUCUCUUUUUUUUUCAGUUUCGCUACCGUGUGGCUCCAUUGAGAGCGUUUGCUUAUUGAUCACUCUCUCUCUCAGCGCCUGCGUUUGGAAGUUUCUGUGCGGCUUUUCGGGCCCCAUUGGAUCCGGCGAGGUGUGCGCAUCCCUUUACUAAGUGUGUGUGUGUACGCCCUCACAAACUCGUCAACAUCCUUCGACGUGUACACUGAGCAAUCGCUUCUCCUUCACUCGACUGAUUGUUGUUCUUCGCCUUCUCACCCAUCACACUGUUUGCCUGUCUCUAUCCCCACUCUCCCCUUUUUUCUCUCCUGCCUUUGUGUGUUUGUCCUCCAUCCACGUAUUUUGGCGCCUUUGAAUAUAUCACGGACCCCCUCUCUUUCUCUCUUCCCUGCCACCCCGCCCCAUACUGCAGCACCGGUCUGAUUCGUUUGUUGGUUGUCCAUUCCCGCAUUCAGCGCAUUCUUUCUUUCUUCUUAUAUCGCUCUUGUUGACUCGCUGGCGGAACCGAAUCCCGUUCCCUUCGCCUUCUUCUUUCUCUGUGUGCAUUUCUGUUCAUCUGUUUUUUUUUUCUUCUAUCUUGUUUGUUUCGCUUUGUUGGCGAGGCUCGCACACACCCAGUGUUGCCCACGGCGCUAUCACGCUGCUCGCCACUUUUCAUUUUCCUCUCUUUCGUCUGCAAUUCUUCUGUUGAGGUGUUUUUUUCCUUUUCUCUCUUCUUUUUUUUGUUGUUGUUGUUUUCUUUGGUUUUGUGUUGCGCGUUGGCUUGAGUCGUCGUGGCUCUGUUUUGUUCGUGCCUGGUUGGUGUUCUCCCGCCCCAACGCUCUUCUCCGCUAUAUCGGUCUGCAGCUGUCUACAUCGUGUUUUUGUUUUGUACUUGCGUUUUUGUUUGUUGUCCUUUGUGCAAAGAGAGGGGCAAAGGCACGCACACGCGCGCGCACACACACACAUAACAAAGAGGGCAAACAAAAGAAAAAGAAACACACAAAAAGAGUCUUCACGGUGCCGCUGCCUCGCCGAGUAGAAAAAGAGAGGAAUUCCAUAUCGCUGGUUGUAGGUUAGUACACACUGUGACUACACCGCCGAAGUCCCUCCCUGCCUCCCUAUCCUGGUCUCUACAUCUUUCAUCGUCAUUGUCCCCAUCAGCCAAGGCCUUUUUUCGGCCUCUCUUUCAUUCGAGGCGUCUCCGUUUUUCCUUCUCUCUCGUUGUAUCUUACCCUCACUGUUGUCGUUCUCUCCCCUUCCCCUCGCCUUUCUCUGCCCCCCCCCCCCCCCUUUUCUCGUUUUUUGUCCCUUUUCAGUUCGACUUUGCCAUCUCUCCUUCCCUGCCCCCCUCCCUCUCUCUUACAUCAUAAUCUGUUUCGUUGGGUAUUCGCUCGCCCGUUUCUCUUUUCUUGUGCGUGUGCGUCUGUCCUCCUACCUCCCUUACUCACAGAAACACGCCUCUUUUUUCUUUGCUUCCUCUCGACGUUUUCUUUUUUGUUUGUAUCCUGAUCUUUCCUUUUGUCUCACUUCCCUCUUCCCCCAUUCCUUUACCUCUCACGCUGAUUUCGCGGUGCUGAUCUCGGCGUAUUUUUGCCGGUUGGCCGGCAUUCGGCACACGUGCAGCACUGUCUGUGUGCGUGUCUGUGGAUUCGCUGUGUGACAAGAGAGAUCGCGACCUUGCCCCUGCCCUCCGCACGCGCCCCGUCAAGUCGCUCCUCAUCAACGAUACUCAAAAGGACCAGCGUCAAACGAAAAAAAAAACACAGGCGGGCACGUCUGCGCAGCACCACGGUAACUGUGGUGUUUGACCAUAUACACAAAGUACAAAACAACUUCAACGGACUCCCACGACGAAAACGAAAAUGUUCCCGAUGGAUAUCGCCAACAGUGGUAACCAGCAGAUGGUGUACCGCAACAACCAACCCCCGCAACAGCGUCAGCAGCACCAGAUGCCGCAGCAUCAUCUGCAGCAGCAACACCAUCAGAUGCCGCAGCAGCAGAUGUUUCCCUCUCAGUAUGGAUAUCAGCAGCAGCCCUACCUGGCGUACCCCAGCACCGCAGGCCCAAACGCCGGGAAGGGAGCAAUGGACUUCAUACCGUCACAGCAAUACAUGCCUCAGCAGCAGAUGUUCCCGUACGGAUACACGCAGCAGCACCAGUCUCCGCUGAACCAGCAGUUCUUCCCUUCGGUGAUGGCCCCGCAGACUCAGCCGCCACCGCCGCCUAUGCGCUACAACCAGCAGGGCAACAGUAACAGCACCAACCAGUACAUGGGCGGUCACGCCGGUGGCCAUCCGCGUUACCAUGGCGGACGUGGACGCGGCGGCAUGCACAGCGGAUAUGGUGGCCAGUUCCAUCGACAAGUGCACAACAACUACUUCUACAACCAGCAGCACCACUAUAGCAGCAACAAUGCCGUGCCGGAAAAGACGCCGACCGUGCAUCUAAUCCACCCAGAAACAAAGAAGAUCAUCAGCAUCAAGCUGAACCGCAUUUACAGCACCAUGGCUGACAUUCGCCCUCAGCUUCAUCAGCAGUCGCACAGCAACGGCGCUUCGGCGAGCAACGUCCCUAGCGUCAUUGAGGACAGCAAGUCGGAAAAGACGAGUAAGAACGAGAGGCCAAAGGAGAAGAAUGACUCUUCGCUGGCGCCAAAGUUUGAUCCCAAGACGACGAAACUGGUGCUAUGCCUUAGCUUCCUCUGCCCCAAGGGGUGCAUGCACGGCAGCGGGUGCGAUAAGGUGCACAUCGCCGGUCUCGAGUACACGUGGCCACAAGUGGAGGCAAAGGAGGUGAAGAAGGAAGGUAAGAAGGCGUACUCCGCAGGCUUUUUUGUGCACUGCUACGACCCGACGUUGACUCGCUACUACAAAGUGCCGUCGGGGUCUGUCUACGUGACGAAGGGCAGCGCCGAAUACGUGAACAUGUUCAACGACCACGGCGAUAACUUUAAGAUGAAGUUCAAGCUGUGCGCGCCGAUUCUGGAGGGCGCCGAGUGCGAGAAAGGGGAAGAGUGCGAGGACAUCCACUGCUCCGUCUCCGACCUGGAGGCGGUGCGGGAGAACAGCGCAAACGCGACGCACAUCAACAACAUCGAGGCCAUGGCCGAUGUGCCGCGCCUGCCUGCUGACAUGACGGUACGCGUCUUCAAUCAGAACAGCUUUGACACGUGGCGAGACUACCCCGGUGGCAACCUACUCAUAACGGAGGGAGCCAAGGCGUAUCAGAAGCAAUACGAGCAGGAGAUGAACAGCGUGCCGACCCGAAAACGUAUGCAGCACUGCGCACACUUUCGUCUGAAGGACAUGUGCCGCCUCGGCGAGUCCUGCAGGUUCCUUCACGUGCUACCGACGGAACAAGAGCUCAAGGAGCGCAAGGAUGCCGAGGCAGCCGAAGCUGCCGCGCAGGCGGCUGCAAAGGCGAUGGAAGGGGUGGCCGGCGAGGGAAUCAUGAAGUCCGACGAGAAAGAUGCAGGGGUGGCGAUCGAGUAGGCGCCUGAUGGCAAGAGAUGAAAAAGAAGCGACUCAAAAGGAAAGAACCAGAUGGAGAAGGUCUACCGGCUCUAACCGCCGUCCUCUGACGAGAGUACAACACGCCACACAGACAAACGCGUUACCCCCAAACGCAGAUGAACUGUGUGCGUGUGCACUUCGUGCCUGGAUGCCGUUCGGUUGCUGCGCUAUUCUUGGAUUCCAGAGCCACUAACCCCACUUCGUCGUGUGGCUCAUGUCGCCGUGACGGUGUUCUAUUUUUGCUGUUGCACACAGCGCUUUCCCUUUUUUUUUCACUUUGGCAUGCGACGUUUUUUUUUUUUUGUAAGCGUGGUCCCUUUUUUCUUCUGCCUUCUGUCUUGCCUCUCUCGUAUCGUCUCGCUUCGGCCAUCCUCGUCAUCAUGUCUCAACGCUGCCUCCUCUUUUUUUUUCUGCAUGCUGUUUGCGCGGAAUCUGUGGAGGGGGACGGUGCGUGAUUGCUGCUUGUGGCUUGGAGCUGGCUAUGCGUGUGUGUACAUGCUCAAUCAUUGCCGGUUUCCCUGCGCCUCUUGCUUACUUUACAUUGACCGUGUCUCUCUCUUCCUGUUUAAAUGUUCGCUUCUUUUUGGAUUACUGUGCUCUCUCGUUUCUUUUUUUUUUCCGAUCAUCUUUUUCAUGCUGUCUCUCCGUUAGAUCUUUAUUCCGUUGUCCCCUCUUUCUCUCUUUCCCUGCUCGACGGACGAAGACGAACUACAAAGAAGAAAAACGGAAGGAAGAAACGCCGUGGAUGGCGCAUUGGCUGCGCGCGUGGCGCUGUGUUUGUGUCGUUUUGCGUUUCUCGCUCCCCCUCCCAACCGCCGUUUAAAGCCCCUCGCCACCCCUCUCUGUUUUCCCGCGUGCGGCUACUUUCUGCGCUCGCCGUUCACUCUCGCUCUCUCUCUUCUGUGUGUUUCUUGUUGUCUCUUCGUUGCGUGUGUCGACUCUCAGAUGGCGUUGACGUCAGCGCCGCCGUCGCGGCGUGUCGUUGUCCGGUGUGAACUUGCUCUUGGAUGCCGUGUAUGUGCGUGUGUGUGGGCAUGCGCACUGAUGGGUGUAUGGAAAGGAGCAACCUUCCGUUCCACGUUUGGGCUCCUUUCGGAUCGUUUGGUUUCUCUCUAGGCGGCCGGUGACCCAAAACACAUCGUUUCGGUGCCCCGCCCUCCCCCCUCCGUCGGCGCACCGCCCGAAAGACAAAGCGCAACAGGCACACCCACGAAAGGCGGCACACAUCCCCCAUCAUCACAUGUGCGCCAAACGCGUGACCGCGAGCAGGAAAAAGACGACGACCGCAGGGCGCGUGAUGUGUUCGCAGACUAGCUGGGGCUCCUUUUUUUUUUUGAGACGGCUUGCGUAGAGAUUGGCAUUAACGUAAUACAGCGUGUAGCGCUCUUGUUCCCCUUUACGCUGCCUUUUUCUUCUUUUCUGGGGGAAGGUUUUCGUUUUAGACGUGCCCUUUUCUCCACUUCUGCUUCUGGAAGAAGAAAACACACACCGCGCCACUCACCCAUGAAGAGCAAAGGGGAAAAAGGCAAUGAAAAGGAAGAAAACGUAUUCGGAGAGCAAACGGGCGAGGAGCGAAGCAAAAAAAGAAAAAAGAACCCAUAGAACACGAUGCGCACACCAGACAAACACACACAAGCACACACGGAAUGCGUGCAAUGAAAGCUCUCGCCAUACGCGUGCCUUUGUUCAAUUAGAAAAGGGAAGACUUUGUAUUUUGUUUUCUCAUCUGUGAGAUAAGCGGGUUUCCUCGUCUCCUUAUUCUUGUCUCGAGGCCCGUCGCUCUCCUUUCGCCUCCCCAUUUUUACUCUCGCGGCAAGAAAGUGCAAAGGGCUACUGCGUGGGCUGAAUGAAAAUGGUCGGGGAUUGGCUAGGUAGGCGCACACGCUCACCAGCACAUCAGCGAAACAGCAUCGGGGGAUUUUUUACUCGGCUUUUUUCCUUGUACGCUGUUCUACUUGUGCCUGUCCUCGCGACAGUUCACACGCGUAUACAUACGCGCUCACGCACGCAUGAAUCCUUUGUCACACACCCACCCUCUCUGCGUACAGGAUUCUAGGCACAUUCCAUGGGAGGCACAACAAAGAGAAACACGAGGAUGGAAAAAUCGAAAAAAAAAUGGAAAGAGCUCGAGCAAAUUUUAUCGAGGACCAUUGCUUAUCUGUAUUUAUAUGAGCGUGUGUGUGUGGGUGGACAGAAGCGUAUUGAGCAGCCUGGUGAUCUUUUUUUUUUGCUCUCUCCGUUGCUGUCCUCUUUUCACACCUCGUGUGCUUUCCGAUUGUCCGUCCACGCGUGUUACUCGCUGCUUGCUUCGUUGUGUACUUCCGGAGGUUUAUGCUAUGUCUCUGUGUCUCAGCGUGUGUGUGUGUGCGUGUCUGUGUGUGUGACCGUCAUCACCUAUAUGUACAGCUAUUCUGCUUCCUUUUCCCACACUUUUCGUCUGGCCUCCUUUCCUGUUUGGCUCUCCUUUGCUUCGCUUUUCUUUGCUGUAUAGUCUUUCAAGUUUAAAAGGUACCCUUCCCCGUUUUGUUCUGUUAUCUUUGCGCGUUUUGUUUCCAUACGCGCCUCUUUUUAGUUGUCUCUCUCGUUUUCUUCCUGUUUGUGCACACUCCCUCUCUCCUUUUCUGUCCCUCUUUCGCUUUCUUGCUGCCCUUUUUUUUUAUUUGGCGUGCCUGUGUUUCUGUGUUUGUCUGUCAUGUCUGCGUGUCUUUUUACCCUUUUCUUUUGUAUGGUAUUUCUCCGCUUGCGGUUUCCAACAGCCGUCUUCGUCUGUGUGGUUUCGACCUACUUUCCCGUAUCUCUGUUUUCUGUCACCUUCUUCAACGGGUUGUAUCUUUUUUUUUGCGCAGUUUUUUUUUUUGCGUGUGCUUUUUCUGUCGUCUGACUGACUGUCUGUCUGUCUGUCUGUGUGUGUGAGCGGCCAUGUGAGGGCUUCACUUUAUUGUGAGUGCCCUGAUUCGAUUCUUCUUUUUUUUUCGCGUGUGUGCGUUUAUGAGUUUUGUCCUUGUCUCUCCCCCUUUUUCUUCUUCGCGUGUCUUUUUGCGCUCUCUUCUUGAAUGAUUUCUUUUUAUGUUUUUUUUUUGUGUUCAGCUAACUCUCUCACUUUUCUCGAAUAUGAUGCGUCUUGCUCCUCAGCCCCUCCGCACACACUCUCUCCCCCAAAAUGCGCACCCCACCCGUCUCUCUGUCUGUCUUUGUGGCUCGUACUCUACGACACUCGAAGAUUCUUGUGGAACCCUGUCUUUUCCGCACUCUCUCUUCACCUUUUUUUUCUCUGUUCCUCACUUUCCCUCUUUCUUUUUUACUCGCUGUUCAACUUGACACCCUCACAAUGCAAAGUAAUGAUAGACGUGCUGUGUGCGCCAAAGGGUCAUCAUUCAUUGCCACGUGCGUUCCUUCGAACGGAGAAUGACGAACCGAUGCGCUGGCCAUAACCACCCACCCACCCACACACACACAAAUAGUGAAGAAGAGAGCUACCAAGCGCACUGCUUGCGCGCCUCCUCCCCCCUCCCCACUUCUCCAUUUCUUCCCGUUUGUUUUGCAUCUCUGUUCCUGUUGAGUGUUCAUGUGUAGUGCUCAUCUUCGGUUUUGGUUUGUUUCCUCCGUGCCUCUGUUGCUUCGCUUCAAACUGUGUUUUCCCCUCCCUUUCUUUUUUUCUGCAUCUUUUUUUUUCUUUUUCGUUUUUUUACAUGCUUUGAUUUUGUUUACUGCCGUGAAUGCCCCAUCCCCUUGUUGUGUUCCCAUACAACCUUUUUUUUUGUUGGUCAACCGUCUGCCUUUCUUGCCUAUUCCUUUCUCAGCUGCCCUGCCUCUCCCCUUCAUCCUUUCCAUUUUGUUCGUUUGUUUGUAUUUUUUUUUUUGCAUUUUAUGGUUCGGUUUCUCAUUGUCUUCCUUCCUCUGGCUGUGAGUCUUUUCCCGCGUCUCGUGGACCUGCAUUUCGUUUGCGCCUUUACUUGUUUUGCCCUUUCUUUCUGGCCUUUUGUUCAUUUUUUCUCUGCCCCCCCCCCCCCCACACACCCCUUUCUCUUGUAUGCGUGUUUGUAUGUACAUGUGUGUGUGCUCACGUACCGCUCUCUCCUCCCCACUUCGACCUUCAGCCUCGCUCCCCCUUCUACUUACUUUGUCUGAUAUCGUGCGUUGUGUUUUGCUCUCCGACUACCACCACCACUUUGGGCUCCCCUGCACCUUGUUGCCCCACCGCUUUUGUUCUUCUUGGGCGCCGCCAUUUCAAAAGAAUACGCAAGCGCCACGAGAGGGGGACGCGACACAGCGACGCAUGCGAGCAGGUGGAGAGCCGAACGCAGACAAACCAAACGCCACGACCAUCGAGAAAGCCUUUUUACAGCGCGCUACGUCAAUCAGACAGUCCGCGUGAGCGCCUGUCUGCGCCAUUACCCCUCUCUUGUCUACUUUCGAAGGCAGGAGGAGUAUAAGUGCACGCACGCGUGACGCGGAAGAAAGCGAAGAAUGCCGAGACGUAGCCGAAUCACCUCCUUCCUCCUCCCUCUCCCCCCACACACAGCAAACAUGCUCGGACACGCAACGCAUCGUUGCCGAGCACACUCUGAUGGGGGAAAAGCAACGUCGAACCCAACGUCCAUCGCACAUUGCAAUCGCCUCAUGAACUAUCGUCACAGGCGCAUCCGCGGCCCUUAGCCUACAAAAGGGAACGGGUCGACGAGGUCAUAAGCGAGGGGGAGGGGGUAACAAAAAAGACACAACAGACUGCGCACCAGUCGGAUACCUCGUAUCCCGGUUUCUUUAUUCACACAAACACACGCACAGAUACGCAGCUCUAAAGCUGGCGACAUCAUCGCGAGGCUGUACAGUUGCUUGUGUGAUGUGUCUCUUUCUUUCUGAGUAUGUAUGGAUGUCUUUUGCAUGGCCAUCCCCUUCGAAAUCGCUCCUUGCUCCACCUUGUUCUGCCUCUUUGCGAAAGGCAAAAAAAAAGGCGUGGCGCGUGCGCUUGCGCGGACGCUCUUCUACUUCGCGUUUGCUUACCGCGCUCGCGUACUUGGCCUUUUCUUCUUUUUCUCCUCGAUUUUGCCUACUUUUCGUUUGUGUUGCUUUUUGCUUGAUCUGAAACUGUGGGCUUCUCUAUAUAUGUAUAUGUUUUCUUUUCCACUCUGUUGCGUAUUUGUUUUGUUCCCUUUUUCCGGUUGACUCUUACCUGUGCGUUUUCUCGUUCCUCUUCGUUUUUUCGUUUCUGUGUAAGGUUAUGUUCACGUUUGUUCGUUUGACGGUUGCUUUUCUUGCACUAACUUGCUCAGCCUCCCUCUCGAACCCCUUCCCUCUCUUCUGUUCGCUUUCGCGCCAAAAGGUUUGCAUCCUAAAAUAGCCACUAUCACGGAAAAGUGUAGCGAAGAUGCGAACAGACUGACGUUCCAUAGGGUCUUUUGUCACCCUCUCUCUUGUUGCUAUUGUUCGCUGUGCCCCUCCUCCCCAGGUUGAGCUUCCACACCUUUUUUCUGCGAGCAAAGGAUGAACUGCUGUGCAACGCGCACGCCAUCGUACCUGCCUACUCAAGCGAUUUGUGUGCACUCUGCAGAGGCAAGAGCAUAGAAAGACACAGUGGUUUUCAAGAGGAGCACUAGUAACCGUCGAAAACGAGAACUAGAAGUCCUAAAAGACGUGACAAGGACAUCACUGGUGCCGCAACAACAAAAAAAGGAGAAAAGAUGUAACGGAGUGCAUCGAUAAUGUGAAGCGCUUCAUUAUCUGUUUGCCUGAGAAGCAAAACUAUACAACAAGACAUGAGAAAAGACAGUGGGCAAUCAUACCGCCGCCCUUGUCCUGAAAAGGAGGUGACCUACACACGCGUAUUCCUUCGUGUGUGUAUCCGCCGCAUCUUUGUGUUUUUUUUCCCUCUUCAGUCUUCUCAGUUUUUGGCCUAUAUGUAGAUGUGUCUCCCUUCUCUCUCCACUCGUUUCGGCUCUCCCAUAUACUCGUCCUGAUGCACCCCCUCCCCCGUUUCUCAAGUCUUUCGUUCUCAGCUAUUUUUUUCCCCUCUUCUGUUCAUUGUUCUUCAACAGUGCCAGAAUAUGAAAAAUAUAAGAAGCGGUGAAACGGCGAGGUAAAAGGGGGUUUGGAUUGAGCAAUAAGAAGGAAACAGUGCCGUGAAGGCGGCCACCCUAGUCUAGCAGAGGUCUCUCUGUGUAUCGGUUCGCUCUUCCAUCCGUGCGUUUGUUUCGUGCUGCACGUGCUUUCUUAUACAGGGCGGUACAAUGAGCACCGCCACGUCUCCGUCGGCGUACUCCUUUAAUUCGAAUAUUAAGAUAUAACAAAAUAAGACACUGCGACAAGGACGUGUUCCCUGUACGUGGAGCAAUGUUGUCGCGCUUUUUAUUGGCGCGUACUCUUUCUUCUGACUCUGUGUGCCUACACUUGUUGAUCGUGCUGUCUUCUUUUUUUUUAUCGAUUUGCUAG
rnacentral:misc_RNA from 1 species